GCCCAUCAACAAUAGAACCAAAUACAGCCCAGCGCGUGUAUGAAAUCGCUUCGAUUUGGGGGAAUCCGUUGUGAUUCAUAUCUCGUUGUGAUUUUGGCUUUCAUUCAAAUUUCUAUCCGUUGGGAAUUUCAAUUCCUAAGUAUGAAAUUCGCUUCGAUUUGGGGGAAUCCGUUGUGAUUCAUAUCUCGUUGUGAUUUUGGCUUUCAUUCAAAUUUCUAUCCGUUGGGAAUUUCAAUUCCUAAGUAUGAAAUUCGCUUCGAUUUGGGGGAAUCCGUUGUGAUUCAUAUCUCGUUGUGAUUUUGGCUUUCAUUCAAAUUUCUAUCCGUUGGGAAUUUCAAUUCCUAAGUAUGAAAUUCGCUUCGAUUUGGGGGAAUCCGUUGUGAUUCAUAUCUCGUUGUGAUUUUGGCUUUCAUUCAAAUUUCUAUCCGUUGGGAAUUUCAAUUCCUAAGUAUGAAAUUCGCUUCGAUUUGGGGGAAUCCGUUGUGAUUCAUAUCUCGUUGUGAUUUUGGCUUUCAUUCAAAUUUCUAUCCGUUGGGAAUUUCAAUUCCUAAGUAUGAAAUUCGCUUCGAUUUGGGGGAAUCCGUUGUGAUUCAUAUCUCGUUGUGAUUUUGGCUUUCAUUCAAAUUUCUAUCCGUUGGGAAUUUCAAUUCCUAAGUAUGAAAUUCGCUUCGAUUUGGGGGAAUCCGUUGUGAUUCAUAUCUCGUUGUGAUUUUGGCUUUCAUUCAAAUUUCUAUCCGUUGGGAAUUUCAAUUCCUAAGUAUGAAAUUCGCUUCGAUUUGGGGGAAUCCGUUGUGAUUCAUAUCUCGUUGUGAUUUUGGCUUUCAUUCAAAUUUCUAUCCGUUAGGAAUUUCAAUUCCUAAGUAUGAAAUUCGCUUCGAUUUGGGGGAAUCCUUUACAAAUAUUGACUUCCGUUCAAAUCACACCCAGUUUCUAUCCGUUACAAAUUUGAUUUUCCCCUCUUUCUUCUUCAUUGUUUGAGAUGGGAAAACACAGAGAAUCAGCAUACAGAAAGAAGUCUGGAUUCGGGGUCUUCCUUCUCGUUUUUUUGUUUUCCAUCGGAGUCUGUCGGAGUUUCACUUCAGCUCACCGGAGGUAGAUCGUUCAUUCCAGUCAGAAUAACUUCCGUCCUAUUCCACUUCUGGACUAAUUCCUUGCAUUUCAUCAAGUUGAAUUCCUCUGAGUGGAAGGGAGGGAAGCUGAAAUAGAGGGCAAACGAAAGCAAAAAAUGCAGGGAAGGGGCUGCUAUACAAGCCUGUAUACACUAAAUACAGUUUUCUGUAUACACUGAAAUUUGGCUCAAGUCAGCAGCAAUUUAGACCCAAAGAGGACCAAAUCAGCAGCAGUUUGGGCACAAAAGGCCCAAACUGCUUCUCUCUCUCUCUCUCUCUAUAUAUAUAUAUAUAUA